rnacentral:rRNA from 1 species
UACGUAGGGGGCAAGCGUUAUCCGGAUUUACUGGGUGUAAAGGGAGCGUAGACGGCAGUGCAAGUCCGGAGUGAAAGCCCGGGGCUCAACACUGGGACUGCUCUGGAAACUGUAAAGCUGGAGUGCGGGAGGGGCAGGCGGAAUUCCUGGUGUAGCGGUGAAAUGCGUAGAUAUCAGGAGGAACACCGGCGGCGAAGGCGGCCUGCUGGACCGUAACUGACGUUGAGGCUCGAAAGCGUGGGGAGCAAACAGG